rnacentral:rRNA from 1 species
CCAAUAGCGUAUAUUAAAGUUGUUGCAGUUAAAAAGCUCGUAGUUGAAUUUCGGGAUUGACACAUCGGUCGUGCCUUAAGGGGUGUGAACUGGUGUAGUCAAUUUCUCACCUUCUGGAGAACCGCGAUGUCCUUAAUUGGGUGCCGCGAGGAACCAGGACCUUUACUUUGAAAAAAUUAGAGUGUUUAAAGCAGGCAUUUUUGCUUGAAUACAUUAGAAUGGAAUAAUAAAAUAGGACGGAAUGAUUCUAUUUUGUUGGUUUCUAGGAUCACCGUAAUGAUUAAUAGGGAUAGUUGGGGGCAUUAGUAUUCAAUUGUCAGAGGUGAAAUUCUUGGAUUUAUUGAAGACUAACUACUGCGAAAGCAUUUGCCAAGGAUGUUUUCAUUAAUCAAGAACGAAAGUUAGGGGAUCGAAGACGAUCAGAUACCGUCGUAGUCUUAACCAUAAACUAUGCCGACUAGGAAUCAGACGAUGUUAAUUUUUUAAUGACUCGUUUGGCACCUUACG